UACGUAGGUGGCAAGCGUUGUCCGGAAUUACUGGGUGUAAAGGGAGCGCAGGCGGGACAGCAAGUCAGCGGUGAAAUACAUGGGCUUAACCCAUGAACUGCCGUUGAAACUGCCGUUCUUGAGUGGAUCAGAGGCAAGCGGAAUUCCGAGUGUAGCGGUGAAAUGCGUAGAUAUUCGGAGGAACACCAGUGGCGAAGGCGGCUCUCUGGACUGUAACUGACGCUGAGGCACGAAAGCGUGGGGAGCAAACAGGAUUAGA
rnacentral:rRNA from 1 species